UACGUAGGUUGCAAGCGUUGUCCGGAUUUACUGGGCGUAAAGAGCGCGCAGGCGGUCGUUCAAGUCGCGUGUGAAAGCCCCCGGCUCAACUGGGGAGGGUCACGCGAUACUGAUCGACUCGAAGGCAGGAGAGGGUAGUGGAAUUCCCGGUGUAGUGGUGAAAUGCGUAGAUAUCGGGAGGAACACCAGUGGCGAAGGCGACUACCUGGCCUGUUCUUGACGCUGAGGCGCGAAAGCGAGGGGAGCAAACGGG
rnacentral:rRNA from 1 species